GAUGAACGCUAGCGGCAGGCCUAAUACAUGCAAGGCGAAGGGGCAGCAAUGUCACUGUCGUACGGGUGCGUAACGCGUAUGCAACCUACCUAUCACAGGGGAAUAGCCUUUGGAAACAGGGAUUAAUACCGCAUAAAGCAGGGACACCGCAUGGUGAUAUUGCUAAAGAUUUAUCGGUGAUAGAUGGGCAUGCGUCUGAUUAGUUAGUUGGCAGGGUAACGGCCUACCAAGACGAUGAUCAGUAGGGGCGUCAGAGCGUGGUCCCCCACACUGGCACUGAGAUACGGGCCAGACUCCUACGGGAGGCAGCAGUAGGGAAUAUUGGGCAAUGGAGGCAACUCUGACCCAGCCAUGCCGCGUGCAGGAAGACGGCCCUCUGGGUUGUAAACUGCUUUUAAGUAGGAGGAAAGUGCAGCUUGCGAGCUGUUUUGACGUUUACUACUAGAAUAAGCCACGGCUAACUACGUGCCAGCAGCCG
rnacentral:rRNA from 1 species